CUACGGGUGGCUGCAGUGAGGAAUAUUGCACAAUGGGGGGAACCCUGAUGCAGCAACGCCGCGUGGAGGAUGAAGCAUUUCGGUGUGUAAACUCCUUUUAUAUGUCAAGAAAAUGACGGUAGCAUAUGAAUAAGCACCGGCUAACUCCGUGCCAGCAGCCGCGGUAAUACGGAGGGUGCAAGCGUUACUCGGAAUCACUGGGCGUAAAGGACGCGUAGGCGGGUUGGAAAGUCAGGUGUGAAAUCCUACAGCUUAACUGUAGAACUGCACUUGAAACUUCUAAUCUAGAGUAUGGGAGGGGGAGAUGGAAUUAGUGGUGUAGGGGUAAAAUCCGUAGAUAUCACUAGGAAUACCUAAAGCGAAGGCGACCGCCGGGACCAUUACUGAUGCUAAGGAGCGAAAGCGUGGGGAGCAAACAGGAUUAGAUACCCUUGUAGUC
rnacentral:rRNA from 1 species